ACAUUAGAACCUGAGGCAAUUAUCAGUCCCCCAUCAGAGACCCACUGAAGCAGAGUCUGCAUUUAACAAGAUCCCAAGACCAUGUGUAUGCUUUUAAGGCUGAGAAGCACUGAUAUUUCUGGAGAGUCCCACAUUGUUUCCUGGACUACUUCCCAGAGGUCCUCAGUGACAAAUUGCCCAGAAGAUUCCCGUGGGAGGAGUAUCUCUGAGGCAUCACCUGGAUUUUGCAAUCAGCGGGACCCUGAAUCCCUGCUUGGCUCAGUUUGGUUGUAGCUGGGUCUCUUCAGAAGUCCGAACUCUUUUGGAAAAUGUCAGAAACUGACUUCAAACUGGUUCAAAAACCAUUGUUGGAAAAGUACCUGCCAUGACUUGGGGAAGGCGGAAUUCACUUUGAGAAACACUUAUUUAACUGCUGGGAAGAGCACACAUUUGAUGCAGAUAGAUCAACCUAGUGAUUCGCGCAGCUGGGCACCUUUACAUCCAGGCCCUGGGAGGCCAAGCUGGUCCAUGAGCAGAUUCAUUCCUGCUACACACAGACUGGGGCCUAAUGCAGUUCCAUGUAGCUGCCCUAGCUCACUGCUCCUCAGGGGCCAGCCUGGAUGGUCACCUGCACUGCCUGAUGCACUGGGAGUCCACCAUCAGCCACCAGGGGAUGAGAAGAUUAUCUCAGGGAUUGGGAUUCCCUCCAUCAGGCUGUGGUAGGAAUGGUGAGGACUAGACAUCAGGGGCAUUGUAUAUUGUCUCCCCUAUAGAUUUUGGGUGGAAAAUGACUUUGGAAUGUGAAAGAUCUGCAAUUGAACUCCAGCACCACCAUUUCUUAGCUCUGUGGCUACAGGCAAGCACUCAUACUUAUGGGCCUCAGUGUCCUCAUCUAUCAAAAGGGAAUAAUUGUAUAGAGGAGAGAUUUGUGUGCAGCUUAAACAAGAGAGUAUGUAUAAAGCAGCUAGCACAGUGUUAGACUUUCAUUUACUCAACAAAUGCUGAUGAAGUGCCUGUCACGUGGCAGGUGCU